rnacentral:rRNA from 1 species
GUCCUUGCCGUAAACGAUGUAUACUUGAUGUAAUUGGUCUCAACCCCGAUUGUGUCGUAGCUAACGCGAUAAGUAUACCGCCUGAGGAGUACGCUCGCAAGGGUGAAACUCAAAAGAAUUGACGGGGGCCCCGCACAAGCAGUGGAGCAUGUGGUUUAAUUCGAUGCAACGCGCAGAACCUUACCCAGGCUCGAAAUGUAGUGGACAACCCUUGAAAGGGGGCUUCUCGUAAGAGCCGCUAUAUAGGUGCUGCAUGGCUGUCGU